rnacentral:rRNA from 1 species
GACGAACCGAGCGAACGUUGUUCGGAAUCACUGGGCUUAAAGGGCGCGUAGGCGGGUGCUCAAGUCCGUGAUGAAAUCCUCCGGCUCAACCGGAGAACUGCCUCGGAUACUGGGCGUCUCGAGUGUGGUAGGGGUAUGCGGAACUAUCGGUGGAGCGGUGAAAUGCGUUGAUAUCGAUAGGAACUCCGGUGGCGAAGGCGGCAUACUGGACCACCACUGACGCUGAUGCGCGAAAGCCAGGGGAGCAAACGGG